rnacentral:rRNA from 1 species
UGGGGAAUAUUGGACAAUGGGCGAAAGCCUGAUCCAGCCAUGCCGCGUGUGUGAAGAAGGUCUUCGGAUUGUAAAGCACUUUAAGUUGGGAGGAAGGGCAGUAAGCGAAUACCUUGCUGUUUUGACGUUACCGACAGAAUAAGCACCGGCUAACUCUGUGCCAGCAGCCGCGGUAAUACAGAGGGUGCAAGCGUUAAUCGGAAUUACUGGGCGUAAAGCGCGCGUAGGUGGUUCGUUAAGUUGAAUGUGAAAGCCCCGGGCUGAACCUGGGAACUGCAUCCAAAACUGGCGAGCUAGAGUAGGGCAGAGGGUGGUGGAAUUUCCUGUGUAGCGGUGAAAUGCGUAGAUAUAGGAAGGAACACCAGUGGCGAAGGCGACCACCUGGGCUCAUACUGACACUGAGGUGCGAAAGCGUGGGGAGCAAACAGG